rnacentral:rRNA from 1 species
AUUGAACGCUGGCGGCAGGCCUAACACAUGCAAGUCGAGCGAGCGGCGGAAGGGUGAGAAAUGUCUGGGAAACUGGCCGAUGGAGGGGGGGAACCACUGGAAAAGGUAGGUAAUACCGCAUACCAUCAGAUGUGCCCAGAUGGGAUUAGCUAGGAGGUGGGGUAACGGCUCACCUAGGCGACGAUCCCUAGCUGGUCUGAGAGGAUGACCAGCCACCCUGGAACUGAGACACGGUCCAGACUCCUACGGGAGGCAGCAGUGGGGAAUAUUGCACAAUGGGCGCAAGCCUGAUGCAGCCAUGCCGCGUGUAUGAAGAAGGCCUUCGGGUUGUAAAGUACUUUCAGCGGCGAGGCGUUACCCACAGAAGAAGCACCGGCUAACUCCGUGCCAGCAGCCGCGGUAAUUC